GGAUCUGCUGAGGCCUGAAGCUGGUUAUGAGCAGAAACCAAAAGCAGGUCACAGGAGCCGGCUUCUGACUCUGAUUCUUUUACAGGAAGGAACCACAAACUAGGAGGCCUGUCCAGAGAGGAGAACCUGGGACUAUGGUACUUAGCCUGUGGCUGUAGGGUCCUCUCACACCAUGCCACGAGACAGUGUUGGGGCCAGAGAAGAACCUGAAGACUAAUUCCUUUUAAAACUACAUAUUUUCGGGGUCUUGGAGGGGGGAGCAUUCCAGAAGGAGCUGCCAAUCCAACCUGGGCCUGAAUCGGCAGAGCAGAGGCAUGGGAUUCUAACCCCGACCGGAAGCAGAACUCCAGCCAAGCCAGCACACAAUACCAUAAGGCCAGGGUGGAUGGAAAGCAGCCAAAGGCAGCAACCAGGAGCCUGCCAUGCCCAGCGGUUGGGCACUGUGAUGAUCUCCUUGUGAUGAAGAAGCAUGGCCCAACCCUGUGUCAUGGUGACCUAAAUGAAACUAGGAGACCCACACACAGACCUGGGGCUGCCUACCCCAGGGCAUCGAAGAGAAAAUACUCACCCUGUACCUUGCAGCACCAGCCAGAAGGCCACUGUUAGAGGGAGCAGAGGUAUGAUAUGGUGCCGUGUGUGUGUGUGUGUGUGUGUGUGUGUGUGUGUGUGUGUGUGUGUGUGAGAGAGAGAGAGAGAGAGAGAGAGAGAGAGAGAGAGAGAGAGAGAGAGAGACAGACAGACAGACAGACAGACAGAAUGUUCAGGUCCUGUGGACAGAGGCAAAUCUGAAGAGACUAGAGGAAGGAAGCAGGGCUGAGAUGGUGAGGGAGCUGACUUCUUGACCAGUGGCAACACACAGGAAAGAGAGCCCUGAACUUUGUCUGGGCAGCACAGCAGAGAUGAUCCUGUUGGAGAGAGCACAAGUGAGCCAACCCUGAGGAUGGGAGGGUGGGUCUGCCACAUAAUGGCAUGGUCUGGGGAGAGAUGCUGGCCCAUCAGUGCCUGGGGCACAUGGGAGAGCUGGCCCUGUGGUCAUAAGAGUGGGAGAGCUGUCCCUGCCCCCCACCAGCUGCAGCACUCGAAGGAGCAGAUCCUGCAUUUCACCAGGGCAGCACAAUAGAGCCAACCCUGUUAGUAUAAGUGUAGAUAAGCCAGUCUGGAAGAUGUGAGCAAGGAAGAGCUGUCACCAUUUCUCAUCAGUCUUGUAGUACCAUAGGUGAGGGAAAGGUGCCCCCUGCCCCUGUCAAUGCCUGAGGCAGGUGGGAGAGCUGGCCCUGAGAUCCCAAGAACAUGAGAGUUGUCCCUGCAUCUUCCUUGGGCAACACAGUAGAGCCAAACCUGUUGGUGGAGGUGUGGAUGAGCCAGCCUGGAAGCAGUGAACAGGGAGAGCUGUCCCCACUACUCAUCUGUUAUGAGACAGCAUGGGCAGGGGAGCCUCCCCUCCCCUGCCACACAUUAAUGCCUGGGGCAGUUGGGAGAGCUGGCCCCAUGGUCAUAAGAGUGGGAGAGCUGUCCCUGACCCCCACCAGCUGCAACACUUGGAAGAGCAUGUCCUACACCUCACCAGGGCAGCACAAUAGAGCCAACGUGGUUAGUGCCAGUGUGGGUGAACCUGACCCGAAACUGUGACCAUGGGAGAGCUGUCCCUACUUCCCAUCUGGCAGACCAACCCUACAGCUAGCUGCCCAGGCCCAGACCCAGGGUUCUGACUUGGCCGGCCCCCUCAUCUAUCCCAUGUAUGGUCAGCAUGUGAAGGGACCUGACCCACAAAUCCAAAACUGCAGGAUCUCCACAACACAGGGUGCAACUAGAGUCCAGGAAGAGUCCUAGUGGGGGCCCCAGCAUUCAAUGUGUAGUGGAGACCAGGAGCCCCAAACUGGACCAAUAACUCUUAGCAGUGAACACUUGCAAAUAGAGAUAUAUGGACCAAGGAUUACACAGCAUGACCUGUUGGUUCUCACUGCAGCUUCCAUGAUGAGACUUUUAAUUCCUUCCCUUCUUUUUAUUUUUCUCAUUUUAUUUUUUCUCUUGUAUUUUGUUUUAUUGGGGGUGUGCAGGGGUGGGGAGCAGAUGCAAAGGGACAGGGCAUGAAUGGGAUCAAGAUACAUGAUAUGAAAAACACA
ensembl:lncRNA